rnacentral:tRNA from 1 species
GUCUUUAUAGUUUAAUAAAAACCUUAGUUUUGUAAACUAAAAUAGGCCUACCUAAAGACUC